rnacentral:rRNA from 1 species
UGGAAAGUAAAAAACGUAACAAGGUCUCCGUUGGUGAACCAGCGGAGGGAUCAUUGCUGGAACGCGCCCCAGGCGCACCCAGAAACCCUUUGUGAACUUAUACCUUACUGUUGCCUCGGCGCAUGCUGGCCCCCUCGGGGUCCCUUGGAGACAAGGAGCAGGCACGCCGGCGGCCAAGUUAACUCUUGUUUUUACACUGAAACUCUGAGAAAAAACACAAAUGAAUCAAAACUUUCAACAACGGAUCUCUUGGUUCUGGCAUCGAUGAAGAACGCAGCGAAAUGCGAUAAGUAAUGUGAAUUGCAGAAUUCAGUGAAUCAUCGAAUCUUUGAACGCACAUUGCGCCCUCUGGUAUUCCGGAGGGCAUGCCUGUUCGAGCGUCAUUUCAACCCUCAAGCAUUGCUUGGUGUUGGGGCACUGCCUGUAAAAGGGCAGGCCCUGAAAUCUAGUGGCGAGCUCGCCAGGACCCCGAGCGCAGUAGUUAAACCCUCGCUUUGGAAGGCCCUGGCGGUGCCCUGCCGUUAAACCCCCAACUUUUGAAAAUUUGACCUCGGAUCAGGUAGGAAUACCCGCUGAACUUAAGCAUAUCAAAA